AUUGAACGCUGGCGGCAGGCCUAACACAUGCAAGUCGAGCGAGCGGCGGACGGGUGAGUAAUGUAUGGGGACUGCCCGAUAGAGGGGGAUAACUACUGGAAACGGUGGCUAAUACCGCAUCCUAUCGGAUAACCCAUAUGGGAUUAGCUAGUAGGUGGGGUAAAGGCUCACCUAGGCGACGAUCCAUAGCUGGUCUGAGAGGAUGAUCGGCCACACUGGGACUGAGACACGGCCCAGACUCCUACGGAGGCAGCAGUGGGGAAUAUUGCGCAAUGGGCGAAAGCCUGAUGCAGCCAUGCCGCGUGAAUGAAGAAGGCCUUCGGGUUGUAAAGUACUUUCGGCAGGGAGGCGUUACCCGAAGAGGAAGCAACGGCUAACUCCGUGCCAGCAGCCGCGGUAAUAC
rnacentral:rRNA from 1 species